rnacentral:lncRNA from 12 species
CCUGCCAGGGCCCGGGCUCUCGAUGACUGUUUCCUGAAUGAAGAGUCAUUUUCCUUGAAAGACAAGCUUCAGAAAGCCACGGUCUCUCUGAGCUGGAUCCUUCCUGUCAGGCUGCGAGGACAGCAGCAAGAACAGCCAUGUCACGGGACGCAGCAGGGUGACACGCUGUGUGUCAGGACGACCGGGACAGUGCCAGUGGCCGUGAAAGGAGCCGCCGGCCACCUCGGCACACGUGGGCAGCUCACCCGGGACCAGGAAGGGAGCCCACUCUCUGGCGUGUGAGUCAAGCCACCAGUCACACUGCUUCACCCUCACACCCCACAUUGUCCUCCUCAUCGGCAGUGGUGAACUUUGGGCUAAUUAUAGAAGUGGAAUAAUUACCAGGCUGGCCGACUCCACAGAGUAUAAUCUGUGAAAAGCGAGCUGGCAUUGUGCAGGGCGCCUCUCUCUCCCUGAGGGUUCGAGAAGCCCUGGACUGUGGCUCGUUCCUGGGGGGGCCUGACCACUCUACACGGCCCUGUCCUCGCCUCCUCCCAAUGUCUUGGCUCAGCUGGUGAAGGCUGGGCUUGAGAGGGGCCCAGGGCCUCUGGGGAGACCAGUC